GCCCGUAAUGGUAACAUGUGGGCACUCGUACUGUGAGCCGUGCAUCGAACGACAUACACGUGAUACGAGAGCCUGUGUAAUCUGUAAACUCGACGUUGGACCAUUUGCAGCGAUGAUUCCCAGCAUUACACUUGAUAAUGUACGACGGAUUUUGAUGCGAAAUUCGGAUUUUUCGACAGUUUUUACCCCGGAAAACCGUGGAUUUUUACCUUAAAAUCGCAUUUGUCAGCCAAAAAACUCUAAUUUUAGUCCGAAAAAACGAUUUUUCACGGCAAAAACUACAAAAAUACGCUUAAAAACCCGAUUUUUUCCUCAAAAUUUUGAAUUUUGUGACUAAAAAUUGCAUUUUCAGCCAUAAAAAGCAUAGUUUUGGCUUAAAAUUCAAUUUUCGAAAGUUUUUAGCCUUAAAGGCCGAGAUUUUGACUUAAAAAUCACAUUUUCCCGUGGAAAACUUGAUAUUUUUCAGCCAAAAAAACCACAAAAAUACAUUUUUCAACUUAUAAAUUAUGCAUUUUCGGUCAAAAAUCCGAUUUUUCCUUGAAAAUCUUGCCGAAAAUUCAGAAAAAUGUUGACUUUUACAUCUAAAAUUUCUUGAUUUUCGUUGGUUUUUACACUGAAAAACCGGAAUUUUGACCUAAAAAUAAACUUUUUCAUAGGAAAACCUAAAAAAUUAUGAAUUUUUGGGUUAAAAUUCUCCAUUUUCAGGGUAAAAAUCUGUUGGAAGCCCUGAAAAUUUUGAUUUUGAAGCUAUUUUUCGCAUUUUUCGCAGAAAAACUCAAUUUUAAUCUCAAAAUCCCGAUUUUCCAGCUAAAAAUCCCAAAUUUUUGCAUUUUUUCGCCGAAAAACUUAAUUUUAGUCAAAAAAAAUUGCGAUUUUCUUGCAAAAAUAUCAAUUUUUUGCAAUUUUUACCUUGAAAACCCAGUUUUAAUCUCAAAAUCCCGAUUUUUCAGUUAAAAAUCCAAAAUUUUUGCAAUUUUUAGCUCAAAAACCCAAUUUUCUAGCUAAAAUCUCAAAUUUUUGCAUUUUUUCGCAGAAAAAUACCAAAACAUUCAACGAAUUUUCGUUUCAGAUGGUCCGAAAAUUGAAAAACCAGGAGAAUAUCGAGAGCAGCUACGACGAUUUGUUCAUUUGUGAGGAAAAGGUUGAGUUUUUGCAGGAAAAUGCGAAUUUUCAGGGUUUUUGAGUGAAAAAAUCAUGAAAAUUAGGUGUUUUUGACCCCAAAAGUCGGGUUUUUUCACCAUUUUCAGUUGAAAAAUCGUGGUUUUCCACUUUUUUUAAAGCUUAAAAACCCCCGAUUUUCCCAAUUUUUACCCCCUAAAAACCCGGAUUUUUCACUAUUUUCAGCUCCAAAAAGCGCCAACACCACCAAUUUCGGAGGAAAUUCCGGCUCAAAAAAUGACGAGAAGCCUGUCACAACGGUCUAAACGACGCUUAUUCUUCUCAAUUGCGGGCCCAACGAUUUGCUCGAG
rnacentral:sRNA from 1 species